rnacentral:rRNA from 1 species
UACGUAGGUGGCAAGCGUUGUCCGGAAUCAUUGGGCGUAAAGCGUGUGUAGGCGGCCAGAAAAGUCCGCUGUGAAAACUCGAGGCUCAACUUCGAGCUGUCGGUGGAAACUUUCUGGCUAGAGUCCGGAAGAGGAGAAUGGAAUUCCUGGUGUAGCGGUGAAAUGCGCAGAUAUCAGGAAGAACACCCGUGGCGAAGGCGGUUCUCUGGGACGGUACUGACGCUGAGACGCGAAAGCGUGGGGAGCGAACAGG